CAGUUCUGCGGUUCCACAUCCCUUCCCCAGGGCUGCUCGAGGAUGAGCAAUUCUACAUCCUCGGGGUCAUCCAGAGCUGCCAGGCAGCUGAGCUCAGGGGGCUGCGAACCCUGAAGUGCUCCAAGCAGGAGACAGCCAAAGCCAUUUUGGACAUCUUGGGGCUCUUGGAGCACUUCAGGGAUCGCCCCCUGACCCUGGCCCUUGCCUUGGAGGCCCUCCUCCAGCUCAG